GAUGAACGCUGGCGGCGUGCCUAAUACAUGCAAGUCGAGCGAACAGAUGAGGAGCUUGCUCCUCUGACGUUAGCGGCGGACGGGUGAGUAACACGUGGAUAACCUACCUAUAAGACUGGGAUAACUUCGGGAAACCGGAGCUAAUACCGGAUAAUAUAUUGAACCGCAUGGUUCAAUAGUGAAAGACGGUUUUGCUGUCACUUAUAGAUGGAUUCGCGCCGCAUUAGCUAGUUGGUAAGGUAACGGCUUACCAAGGCGACGAUGCGUAGCCGACCUGAGAGGGGAAUCGGCCACACUGGAACUGAGACACGGUCCAGACUCCUACGGAAGGCAGCAGUAGGGAAUCUUCCGCAAUGGGCGAAAGCCUGACGGAGCAACGCCGCGGGAGUGAUGAAGGUCUUCGGAUCGUAAAACUCUGUUAUUAGGGAAGAACAAAUGUGUAAGUAACUAUGCACGUCUUGACGGUACCGAAUCAGAAAGCCACGGCUAACUACGUG
rnacentral:rRNA from 1 species